UACGUAGGGUGCGAGCGUUAAUCGGAAUUACUGGGCGUAAAGCGUGCGCAGGCGGUUUUGUAAGCCAGAUGUGAAAUCCCCGGGCUUAACCUGGGAAUGGCAUUUGGGACUGCAAGGCUGGAGUUUGGCAGAGGAGACUGGAAUUCCCGGUGUAGCAGUGAAAUGCGUAGAUAUCGGGAGGAAUACCGAUGGCGAAGGCAGGGCUCUGGGCUAUAACUGACGCGCAUGAACGAAAGCGUGGGGAGCAAACAGG
rnacentral:rRNA from 1 species